AAGGCCGACCUGCUUGGUUCUUUCAGGUAAUGAUUGGAAAGAUUUAAUAAGAAUAUGUUUUUCAUUUCCUCUCUAACUGGGACGUUUUAGGAUAGAUUGGAGAGAAAGAAC